UGGGCUGGGGCUUAGUGGUACAGCACUCGCCUAGCAUGUGUGAGGCCCUGGGUCCGAUCCCCAGUACCACAU
rnacentral:tRNA from 1 species